rnacentral:rRNA from 1 species
CGUGUAGGCGGUCGGCCAAGUCCGGUGUGAAAGCCCGGGGCUCAGCCCCGGAAGUGCACCGGAAACUAGCCGACUUGAGCGCGAUAGAGGAGGGUGGAAUUCCUGGUGUAGCGGUGAAAUGCGUAGAUAUCAGGAGGAACAUCGGCGGCGAAAGCGGCCCUCUGGCUCGUUGCUGACGCUGAGACGCGAAAGCGUGGGGAGCAAACAGGAUUAGAUACCCUGGUAGUCCACGCUGUAAACGAUGGGUACUAGGUGUUCGGGGUGUUGACCCCCUGAGUGCCGACGCUAACGCAUUAAGUACCCCGCCUGGGGACUACGGCCGCAAGGCUAAA